AUUAAUUUGUAAUUUGUAACUUGAGUAGAUCCCAUUCUUCCGUCAUAUUUUGUGUUCUGGGCAACUCAACCCAGUGAAGUGAGAGCACCGGCAAGAAGUGAGAGCAACGAUGAGGAGUCUGGCUUCCUUAAGACCAAUGCUACCAUUUCUACGAUCUGCAGCUGAGUCUGCAACUACUAGUUCUCUCGCAUUGUUUCAAUUCAAUGCUCAUUUUCGUAUGUUCUCCACUAAACCUAACCCCAAACACCCCUAUGUUCCUCAUUUUCCCAAUACAUCUCAUGCGAGACUUCAGCAAUUACUUUAUGAGAAAUCAAAGGUUGGUUUCGAUAAACUCGAUGAUGCUCUUCAGGUGUUUGAUAAAAUGCUCCCUGUUCCUAAAUUCAAUCAACUCUUAGCUGCUGUUGUUAAGAUGAAAGACUACUCUGUAGCUGUGUCCGUUUUUAGAAAGAUGUGUGUAGAAAGCGUCCCUGUUAAUGUAAUUACCUUUAAUACUAUUAUCAACUGUUUUUGUCACUUGGAUCGUGUCGAUUUUGCCUUUUCAUUACUGGCUGGAAUCAUCAAGCACGGUUUUGUCCCUGACGUGUUUACUUAUAACACUCUAAUCAGGGGCCUUAUUUCCCAAGAUAUGCCUCAUGAGGCUCAGCUUUUGUUCCAGAACCUCAUUAGAUUUAAACUUAUUCAACCCAAUGUUGUUACCUAUACAACUAUCAUUGACGGCAUCUGCAAGAGAGGGAAUCCUUCUGUGGCUGUUAAGUUGUUUAAAAUUAUGGAGAAGAAAGGUUGCAGGCCUAAUACGGUCACUUACACCACAAUUAUUGACUGUUUAUGUAAACAUGGAUUAGUUGAUCAAGCAUUGGGUCUUCUCCACCGAAUGACAAGGAAAGGCAUAUCCCCAAAUGUUAUAACCUACAGCUCUUUAAUUCAAGGGUUGUGUGACUUUAAUCGAUGGCAUGAUGUCAAACAAUUGCUCAAGGAGAUGGAUCUUAGGAACAUUUCUCAAAAUGUUUUUACUUACAGUAUAUUGAUUGAUGCGUAUUGCAAAGAAGGAAUGAUUGAAGAUGCAGAGGAUGUGAUAGAGUUGAUGACUCAAAGAGGCCAUUAUCCUAAUGUAGUCACUUACAAUUCACUAAUGGAUGGAUACUGCUUGCAGGGAGAGGUUAAUAAAGCUUUAGUAGUGUUCGAAAGCAUGACUAGAAAGGGAAUAUUGCGUGAUGCUUUUAGCUAUAAUAUCCUCAUCAACGGGUACUGUAGAAAGAAGAAAGUGGACAGAGCCAUAGAUCUUUUUCAACAAAUGCCCUCUGAAUGUUUAACCCCAACUAUUCAGACUUACAGUACUAUACUGCAAGGUUUUUUUCAUGUGGGCAGGCAUGUUGAAGCACGUAAUUUUUUUAAGGAAAAGAUGAUCAACCAAGGUGUUGAGUUGGAUAAAGUGACAUGUCGUAUCUUGUUGCAUGGUCUGUGCCAGAAUUGUUAUGUAUUUGAAGCACUAUCGUUUUUUCAAAUACUAGAGUAUAGUGGGUUAGUUGCUGAUAUACAGGUUUACACUAUUCUGAUUGAUGGACUAAGCAAAAAUGGACAUCUCGAGAAUGCAAGAAGCCUUUUUGACAACCUUCCUGCGAAAGGUUUGCGACCUAAUGUCAAGACAUACACAGUGAUGAUCCAAGCAUAUUGUCUUGAAGGGUUAUUGGAUGAAGCAAAUGAACUAUUCAGGGAAAUGAAAGCUCAUGAUUGCUUGCCUAAUGAUGUCACAUACAACACACUUAUACGCUGUUGUUUACAGAAUAAUAAGUACUACGAAGCAGAUGUACUACUAGAUGAAAUGCUUGGUCGCCGCUUUGCAGCAGAUGCAUCUACAACAUCUGUGUUACUAGACUUACUUGAAGUGCAAGAACCGGAUCCUACUCUCCUUGCCUUGCGUGAGAAGUACUUUCCGUAAGUGUGACAGAGAAAGAGAGUGCCCAGGCAGGCAUGUGGAAGCAAAGAUUGACAUUUUGUCAAUAUUUACACAUUUUGUCAAGGGGGGUUACUGGAUGAAGCUAAUAAACUUUUUGUGAAAAUGGAAGCUAGUAUUUGCUUGCCUAAUGCUACCUACAAAACACUUGUCCACGGCUGUUUUCACAAUAAGAAGUAUAGUGAAGCAAUUGUACUUGUAGAAGCAAUGUGUGCUCAAGGCUCCGGAGAUGCAUUUCAAUGUCCUUGGACCUGAGAUUACUUGAAUUGAAAUACAGGUUUACACUAUUCUGAUUGAUGGACUAAGCAAAAAUGGACAUCUGGAGAACACAAGAAGCCUUUUUAACCUUUCUAUGAAAUGUGUACGAUCUGAUGUCAAGACAUAAACAGUGAUGAUCGAAGCAUAUUUUCAUGAAGGGUUUUUGGAUGAAGCGAAUGAACUAUUCAGGGAAACGGAAGCUAAUGAUUGCUUGCCUAAUGAUGUCACAUACAACAUGCUUAUCCGCGGUUGUUUACAGAAUAAGAAUUACUGUGAAGCAGGUGUACUCCUAGAUGAAAUGCUUGGUCGUCGGUUUGCAGCAGAUGCAUCUACGGCAUCUGCGUUACUAGACUAAAUUGAAGUGCAUGAACCGGAUGCUCCUCUCCUUGCCUUGCGUGAGAAGUACUUUCCAUAGGUGUGACAAAGAAAGAGAGGGCCCACUUUUUGAUUUCGCCAGCAUUUUUCAAGAUUUGACACCAACUAUUCAGAUUUAACGCACUAUAUUGCAAGGUUAUUUUCGUACAUGCAGACAGGUGCAAGCACGGAAAUUUCCUACUUAAAUCACAAGAACAGGAACCUGCUUUUCUUGCUCUGCAUAAUAAGUAUUUGCCAUAGGUCUAACAGAGUGAGAGAUUGCGAAGACUUCUCAGUGCAUUGCAGAACCAUUCACCUGGCCAGUGCUCUCAGAUAAAGAACUUGAACGGCUGAUCAGACCAGUCAGCCCAGGUCUUUAAUGUCAGCUGGGUGGAACUUUUUGUUGGUUUUUAGAGUGGCAACACAGUGGAUACAAUUGUAUACAUCCCUACAGCGGUAUUCAGCUCGUAACUUUGUGGAUAUUGUAUGCUUUCAAAAGAUUUUGCAAUUCUGAAUCUGACACACCGGAUCUGCGAUCCCAGUGAGUUCUUAAUUAUAUUGUAUGCUUUCAAAAGAUUUUGCAAUUCUGAA